GGACCCGCACAAGCGGUGGAGCAUGUGGUUUAAUUCGAUGCAACGCGAAAAACCUUACCUAUACUUGACAUACUUGGAAUGCUUUGUAAUGAAGCAGUGCCUUCGGGAGCCAAGAUACAGGUGCUGCAUGGCUGUCGUCAGCUCGUGUCGUGAGAUGUUCCGUUAAGUCGGAUAACGAGCGCAACCCUUACCCUUAUUUGCCAGCGAUUCGGUCGGGAACUAUAAGGGGACUGCCGGUGAUAAACCGGAGGAAGGUGAGGACGACGUCAAGUCAUCAUGGCCCUUACGUAUAGGGCUACACACGUGCUACAAUGGAGAAUACAGACGGACGCUAAGCCGCGAGGUGGUGCUAAUCCUAGAAAAUUCUUCGUAGUCCGGAUUGGAGUCUGCAACUCGACUCCAUGAAGUCGGAAUCGCUAGUAA
rnacentral:rRNA from 1 species